ACUCGCUUCCCCGUCUUGGGCCAGAUGCCCCUACCCAGUGGUUAACGCUCGGCUGAUGUGCUUUAUUUUUUUUUUUAAUUUUUUUUUAUUUAUUUAUGUAUGAUAGUCACACAGAGAGAGAGAGAGAGAGAGAGGCAGAGACACAGGCAGAGGGAGAAGCAGGCUCCAUGCACCGGGAGCCUGAUGUGGGAUUCGAUCCCGGGUCUCCAGGAUCGCGCCCUGGGCCAAAGGCAGGCGCCAAACCGCUGUGCCACCCAGGGAUCCCCUCGGCUGAUGUGCUUUAAAUGAAAAUGUAGUCAUGUUAUUUCUCUACCUCACAUGGGUUAGUGCCCCCCAACCACCCUUGGGACUCAAUCCAGACUCCCUAUUACGACGCUCGACGUCCUUCACGACCUGCCCCCCGCCCGUCUCCGCAGGACCGGUCCACGGCCACCCCGAACUGAGCCUGUUCUCACGCGCCUGUGCAUCCCUCCACGUCGCUGCCCUGCCUCCUGCCUGCAGCUGGCUCGCUCUCUCCCUCUACCCAGAGGUGACCUUGUAAGCAUGUGGCCUGGCUGGUACCAGACGGAGGAGGACUAUGUGAAUGACACCAGUCCCACUUGAAGGAGAAAUAAACCUAUACUGUGUUGCGAGAGACCAUGAAAGAGAAUUGUCCACCGUAACUCUCACGUAUCUCGUCUCUCAUAGUUCUGGCCUACCCCUUUCUUGCACAUAACCUUAGCCCCUAACUGUUCCUCUCUAUCCUUUCUGAUAAAAUUCAAGUUGCCCAA
rnacentral:lncRNA from 12 species